rnacentral:lncRNA from 1 species
CCCCCGAAAGGUGCCUACCUCCGUUCUACCAGAAGAUCCUCGAGAUUCACGAUCAAGAAGAUCUCCUGGAUCAAAGGUUCCAAGAGAUGAAUCGGUGGAUCGAAGAGCUCCGCCAUGCUCCUCCUACUUAUGGUGAGGAUAUUUGUACUGACCCUCCUUUUUCUCAAAGGAUUAUGCAGGAACCGAUCCCGUCAAACUUCAAACUCCCC